rnacentral:lncRNA from 1 species
ACUUCGCCGCUGCCUUUCGUCGGGGCCGCGAGCGGGGCGACGGCCGCCCAGCGCCCCUGGCACCCCUGAUCUCCAGCCGGGGCUCCCGGCCCGCGCCUUGGUGGCUGGAGGCCCAGGAUGAGCCUCGAUGGCGAGAGGCCCAGGAUGCGCCACCAGGCCGGGCUCACUUCUUUGACGCCGAAUAAACUGACAAAACAAUUAGCUGGCCGGCUGGGGAAGGUGGUGGGUGACUCAAAUGCCAGUCGGCUGCGUGCCCCCGCGCUUAGAUGAGUCUGGGAUUCUGGGCAGUUGGGACUUUCUUUUCAGGAAAGGAGGUGAGAGGUGCCGGGGAAGCCCACACGAGCAGCCACUCUUGGAGAAAUGGGGAAUGGCGCUGUAAAAGCGCAGGCCCUCCUCCUCCUCCUUUCUCCCCAUCACACAAAAAGGAUGGGCCUUGAAAGGGAUGAGUUUAUUAUGCACUUUUAAAUGCCUAUUCAGAAAAGAACAGGAGGCAAAAAUAAAGAUGCUUCCCACCCCACCAAUUCCCUUCCCUCGAAGAAAAAAGGAAAGAGAAAGCAACCCACAAAGAAUGGAAACCGAUCCUAGACAUCUGUGAAACGUAUCUUAAAAAUUCCACUACUGAGUUGGGAAAAGCAGAGAGUUCAUGUUUACUUCAUUGGCGAAGUCCAGUUGAAUCUACUUAACUCGACCAGCUUUAAUCCAAUCUAAUAAACCAUGAGCUUGUUCCUGUGUCAAAAAAAAAAAAAAAAAAAAAAGCCAAUAUGCUGCCCUGAGCCUGUGAAAGUUGUCAGAAACAAAAUGGAGUCACUUGUGUUAAAAAAUUAAUUAAUUAAUUAAUUAAAAGAACCCUGACAAAUAUAGCUGCAGAAGGCUAUGAAAAAAAAGGUUCUCAUGCAUAAAUGCCUGAUAACAAAAACUAUCACAAAAGACCCUGCAAAAACCACAGUCCUUGCUCAAAAAUGAUUACAACCUUACACAAAAAAUACUUCAGCAAGAACAUCCGCCCAGUGACUGCCUAUCCAACCUUCGACUGGCAUCACCCUUGCUAUUGUUAUGGGUCUUCAUAGCCAAGGAUAAUUAUCUCAAAACAAUGAUAUAAUCCUCAUUUUUCCUUUAAAAGCCUUUGUCUUUCUUUACCUCCCUGCAUGCCUGUAGUUUACUAUGGCAUGUGUAUUCCCAUUCCAAUGCUCUGUUCCCAAAUAAAUGUAAUUUCCUUUUAGACAGCCUCUCUCUGUUAGUUACUUAGGCUGAUAGCCCCAAAUUCCAUCUUUCGCAUUGCCAUGUCAUCAAAUAAACCUGUGAUUUUCUUGUUUUUGCUAAGCAAAUGGCUUGUGUUGUGGUUAGUGUCUCUAGUGUAACAAUCACUUUGUGUUUCCCUGACUCUCCUAAGUACAAAGAAAUAGGAACCCCCGCACUUUAUGUGGGAAAAAAACAGAGACUGAAAAAUUAAUUAACUGCCCACUCUCACAUGGGUCUACCACCAUCUUCCAGGUCUUUCUUUCCAGACCUGUGGUCUCUCCCCACCUCCAGCCUCUUAUGGAGAGCAAAGGAAGGAAAUGGGAACAGGACUCAACAGCAACAUUCCAGGAAAAUGAAUAGAAUGUGGGAACGGUUCGAAAUGAUAAAUCCAGGUGAUAGAACGAGUUUCAAAGAGCAAGAGCCUGAUGGUAAUAGGGAAGCCAGGGGAACGGCAGAGGUUGUGCAGAAGACGACUCUGGCAAAAUAAGGACUGUGGAGAGAAAGUAAGUGGCUUUUAAGAUCUUAAACAUGGGGUCAAAAUUAUACCAUGAGAAGAAAGAAAAAGUCCCUGGGAGUGUUUGUAGACAGACCAAAGGACAGAACGUGAAGAAGGGCCUAUGAGAGAAUUGGUAUCCGGAAGAUUGUUUAUGUGCAACACUUCUGAGGAAUAAAGGGUGAUAAACUGUCUCGUGAGAAUGAACUACUGGAAGGACGGAGAGACACAAGGAAUGGCUGCAGUCAAGGUGAAAUGUAGGCCGUUGUGAGAGUUUCAUCCCAGGGCAUGAUGAGAAUGCCAGGGCCUGAUGCGUGUCAACGGUGCUUCAUCUGCUCAGAGAGUGUCCUAAAACCAGUCAGACCCUAGAUGUAGAAGUAUGCCACCCAAUGUCACCUAGCAGUUCAAUGCCAGGGAGAGAAAAUUCAGGCUUUCUUAUCCCCCUUCUAGUGCAAGCCCAUGGAAUAUGCCACUUUCCUAGUUAGGAUUUGGAAUUGGUCAUUGGGAAGGGCUCCGAAGAGAAACUCUGAGAAUUGUUGAUUUCCAUUUCAAAUCCCCCUAAUGCAUAAAAUAAGAAUGUGUUCUGCGGUGUUCCUCAGCUUAUUAACUUUUAUAAAAGAAAGGAAUGAUCUUUGUUGUUACUUGAAAACAGCCACAUUUGGAAAGGUCUACGCUACCCAAAUGUAAUAAAAAUAAAUUUUAGUUCAAUUGGUCAGUCUUGAAAGCUAAUUGAACAGUCAUGCUUUGUUCUAAUUAUUCCUGGCUACCAUUAAAGUGAUGG